CCCUUAGAUGUUCUGGGCCGCACGCGCGCUACACUGACAGAGUCAGCGAGUUGAUCCCUCUCUUCGGAAAGGGUUCCUGUGCACGGAAGGCAUGGGUAAUCUUGUGAAACUCUGUCGUGAUGGGGAUAGAUCCUUGUAACUUUUGAUCUUUAACGAGGAAUUCCUAGUAAGCGCGAGUCAUCAGCUCGCGUUGAUUACGUCCCUGCCCUUUGUACACACCGCCCGUCGCUACUACCGAUUGAAUGGUUUAGUGAGGCCUCGGGAUCGGCCUUCUAGCGCCGAGAACUUGGACAAACUUGNUNAUUUAGNGGAAGUAAAANUCGUANCA
rnacentral:rRNA from 1 species